UACGUAGGGUGCAAGCGUUAAUCGGAAUUACUGGGCGUAAAGCGUGCGCAGGCGGUUUUGUAAGUCUGACGUGAAAUCCCCGGGCUCAACCUGGGAAUUGCGUUGGAGACUGCAAGGCUGGAGUCUGGCAGAGGGGGGUAGAAUUCCACGUGUAGCAGUGAAAUGCGUAGAGAUGUGGAGGAACACCGAUGGCGAAGGCAGCCCCCUGGGUCAAGACUGA
rnacentral:rRNA from 1 species